AUACGUAGGGGGCAAGCGUUAUCCGGAAUUACUGGGCGUAAAGGGUGCGUAGGCGGUUUAUCAAGUCAGGGGUGAAAGGCUACGGCUCAACCGUAGUGAGCCUCUGAAACUGGUGAACUUGAGUGUAGGAGAGGAAAGUGGAAUUCCCAGUGUAGCGGUGAAAUGCGUAGAUAUUGGGAGGAACACCAGUGGCGAAGGCGACUUUCUGGACUGUAACUGACACUGAGGCACG
rnacentral:rRNA from 1 species